AUUGAACGCUGGCGGAAUGCUUUACACAUGCAAGUCGAACGGCAGCACGGACUUCGGUCUGGUGGCGAGUGGCGAACGGGUGAGUAACAUAUCGGAACGUAUCCAAUAAUGGGGGAUAACGAGUCGAAAGAUUCGCUAAUACCGCAUACGCCCUACGGGGGAAAGCUGGGGACCUUCGGGCCUGGCGUUAAUGGAGCGGCCGAUAUCUGAUUAGCUAGUUGGUGAGGUAAAGGCUCACCAAGGCGACGAUCAGUAGCUGGUCUGAAAGGACGACCAGCCACACUGGAACUGAGACACGGUCCAGACUCCUACGGGAGGCAGCAGUGGGGAAUUUUGGACAAUGGGCGCAAGCCUGAUCCAGCCAUUCCGCGUGAGUGAAGAAGGCCUUCGGGUUGUAAAGCUCUUUCGCAAGGGAAGAAAACUUAGCCACUAACAUUGGUUGAGGUUGACGGUACCUUGAUAAGAAGCACCGGCUAACUACGUGCCAGCCGCCGCGGUAA
rnacentral:rRNA from 1 species